UUAAGCAUAUCAAUAAGCGGAGGAAAAGAAACCAACAGGGAUUGCCUCAGUAACGGCGAGUGAAGCGGCAACAGCUCAAAUUUGAAAUCUGGCUCUUUUAGGGUCCGAGUUGUAAUUUGUAGAAGAUGCUUUGGGUGUGGCUCCGGUCUAAGUUCCUUGGAACAGGACGUCAUAGAGGGUGAGAAUCCCGUAUGUGACUGGUUGCCUCCGCCCGUGUAAAGCUCUUUCGACGAGUCGAGUUGUUUGGGAAUGCAGCUCAAAAUGGGUGGUAAAUUUCAUCUAAAGCUAAAUAUUGGCCAGAGACCGAUAGCGCACAAGUAGAGUGAUCGAAAGAUGAAAAGCACUUUGGAAAGAGAGUUAAACAGUACGUGAAAUUGUUGAAAGGGAAGCGCUUGCAAUUAGACUUGCGCGCGGCCGAUCAUCCGGGGUUCUCUCCGGUGCACUCGGCCGCGCUCAGGCCAGCAUCGGUUUCGGUGGUGGGAUAAAGGCCGCGGGAAUGUAGCUCCUCUCGGGGAGUGUUAUAGCCCGCGGUGCAAUGCCGCCUAUCGGGACCGAGGACCGCGCUUCGGCUAGGAUGCUGGCGUAAUAGUUGCAAGCGACCCGUCUUGAAACACGGACCAAGGAGUUGACUAUAUACGCGAGUGUUUGGGUGUUAAACCCAUACGCGAAAUGAAAGUGAACGGAGGUGAGAACCCUUAAGGGUGCAUCAUCGACCGAUCCUGAUGUCUUCGGAUGGAUUUGAGUAAGAGCGUAUACAGUCUGACCCGAAAGAUGGUGAACUAUUCCUGAAUAGGGUGAAGCCAGAGGAAACUCUGGUGGAGGCUCGCAGCGGUUCUGACGUGCAAAUCGAUCGUCAAAUUUGGGUAUAGGGGCGAAAGACUAAUCGAACCAUCUAGUAGCUGGUUCCUGCCGAAGUU
rnacentral:rRNA from 1 species